AUUGAACGCUAGCGGGAUGCUUUACACAUGCAAGUCGAACGGCAGCGCGGACUUCGGUCUGGCGGCGAGUGGCGAACGGGUGAGUAAUGUAUCGGAACGUGCCCAGUAGCGGGGGAUAACUACGCGAAAGCGUAGCUAAUACCGCAUACGCCCUACGGGGGAAAGCAAGGGUUCGUAAGACCUUGAACUAUUGGAGCGGACGAUAUCGGAUUAGCUAGUUGGUGAGGUAACGGCUUACCAAGGCGACGAUCCGUAGCUGAUUUGAGAGGGCGACCAGCCACACUGGAACUGAGACACGGCCCAGACUCCUACGGGAGGCAGCAGUGGGGAAUCUUGGACAAUGGGGGCAACCCUGAUCCAGCCACCCCGCGUGUGCGAUGAAGGCCUUCGGGUUGUAAAGCACUUUUGGCAGGAAAGAAACGUCGCGGGCUAAUACCCCGUGGAACUGACGGUACCUGCAGAAUAAGCCCCGGCUAACUACGUG
rnacentral:rRNA from 1 species